UGACAAUAUACCAUUGAACAUGGUGUUGGGGCUGAAGUGGGUUUUUUUUGUUGUUGUUUUUUAUCAAGGUGUGCAUUGUGAGGUGCAGCUUGUUGAGUCUGGUGGAGGAUUGGUGCAGCCUAAAGGGUCAUUGAAACUCUCGUGUGCAGCCUCUGGAUUCACCUUCAAUACCUAUGCCAUGUCCUGGGUCCGCCAGGCUCCAGGAAAGGGUCUGGAAUGGGUUGCUCACAUAAGAAGUAAAAGUAAUAAUUAUGCAACAUAUUAUGCUGAUUCAGUGAAAGACAGAUUCACCAUCUCCAGAGAUGAUUCACAAAGCAUGCUCUAUCUGCAAAUGAACAACUUGAAAACUGAGGACACAGCCAUGUAUUUCUGUACAAGAUACACAGUAAGAAGUCUUCAAUGUGAGCCUAGACACAAAGUUCCACUUCAGCUAUCCUGCAAGGAUUCUGGCUACACACUCACUAGCUACUAUAUUAACUGGGUAAAGCAGAGACCUGGACAUGGCUGUGAAUGGACUGGAAAUAUUUUUCCAGGAAAUGGUGGUACUUACUACAAUGAGAAUUUCAAAGGCAAGGCCACAUUGACAACAGAAAAAUCCUCCAGCACUGACUAA